rnacentral:rRNA from 1 species
CUCGUCCGUCAUCUUUAUCUCUCCACCUGUGCACAUUUUGUAGUCUUGGAUAACUCUCGAGGCAACUCGGAUUUUAGAAUCGCCGUGCUGUACAAGUCGGCUUUCCUUUCAUUUCCAAGACUAUGUUUUUAUAUACACCAAAGUAUGUUCAAAGAAUGUCAUCAAUGGGAACUUGUUUCCUAUAAAAUUAUACAACUUUCAGCAACGGAUCUCUUGGCUCUCGCAUCGAUGAAGAACGCAGCGAAAUGCGAUAAGUAAUGUGAAUUGCAGAAUUCAGUGAAUCAUCGAAUCUUUGAACGCACCUUGCGCUCCUUGGUAUUCCGAGGAGCAUGCCUGUUUGAGUGUCAUUAAAUUCUCAACCUUCCAACUUUUAUUAGCUUGGUUAGGCUUGGAUGUGGGGGUUGCGGGCUUCAUUAACGAGGUCGGCUCUCCUUAAAUGCAUUAGCGGAACUUUUGUGGACCGUCUAUUGGUGUGAUAAUUAUCUACGCCGUGGAUGUGAAGCAGCUUUAUGAAGUUCAGCUUCUAAC